rnacentral:piRNA from 1 species
GGAGAGUCUUACAAUGGUUCUACUGAA